AGCGGUAGAGAGGAGCUUGCUUCUCUUGAGAGCGGCGGACGGGUGAGCUCAAUGCCUAGGAAUCUGCCUAGUGGUGGGGGAUAACGUUCGGAAACGGACGCUAAUACCGCAUACGUCCUACGGGAGAAAGCGGGGGAUCUUCGGACCUCGCGCCAUUAGAUGAGCCUAGGUCGGAUUAGCUAGUUGGUGAGGUAAUGGCUCACCAAGGCGACGAUCCGUAACUGGUCUGAGAGGAUGAUCAGUCACACUGGAACUGAGACACGGUCCAGACUCCUACGGGAGGCAGCAGUGGGGAAUAUUGGACAAUGGGCGAAAGCCUGAUCCAGCCAUGCCGCGUGUGUGAAGAAGGUCUUCGGAUUGUAAAGCACUUUAAGUUGGGAGGAAGGGUUGUAGAUUAAUACUCUGCAAUUUUGACGUUACCGACAGAAUAAGCACCGGCUAACUUCGUGCCAGCAGCCGCGGUAAUACGAAGGGUGCAAGCGUUAAUCGGAAUUACUGGGCGUAAAGCGCGCGUAGGUGGUUCGUUAAGUUGGAUGUGAAAGCCCCGGGCUCAACCUGGGAACUGCAUCCAAAACUGGCGAGCUAGAUUACGGUAGAGGGUAGUGGAAUUUCCUGUGUAGCGGUGAAAUGCGUAGAUAUAGUGAAGGAACACCAGUGGCGAAUGCGACUACCUGGACUGAUACUGACACUGAGGUGCUAAAGCGUGGUGAGCAAACAGGAUUAUAU
rnacentral:rRNA from 1 species